AGGAAUGAGGUUGUUGGAGUCGUAUAUAUUGGCGUACUCAGCGUAACACCAUAACUUAAAAAAAAAAUAUAAUCAAAAAUUCAAAACCCUAAAUCGACUCAAAAGGUCUUCUUCUAGUUCUAGCCUUUGAUCCCAAUCUCAUCUCGCAGCAAAGCAGGAGGAGGAGACAUGAGUAGCCGUGCCAGCAGAACUCUUUAUGUCGGGAACCUCCCCGGUGAUAUACGCGAGAGAGAGGUGGAAGAUUUGUUUUACAAGUAUGGACGCAUUGCCCAUAUUGACCUCAAGGUGCCCCCAAGGCCUCCUGGUUAUGCAUUUGUUGAGUUUGAAGAUGCUCGUGAUGCUGAAGAUGCAAUCCGCGGCCGUGAUGGCUAUGAUUUUGAUGGCAAUCGCUUGAGGGUUGAACUUGCGCAUGGUGGCCGUGGACAUUCUUCUGGGGGAGAUCGUCAUAGAGAUAGUGGUGGUGGUGGUGGUCGAGGUGGACGUGGAAUGUCUAGGCGCUCCGAUUAUCGUGUGUUAGUCAGUGGACUACCCUCUUCAGCUUCAUGGCAAGAUCUUAAGGAUCACAUGCGACGGGCUGGGGAUGUCUGUUUCUCCCAAGUUUUCCGUGAUGGUAGUGGCACAACAGGAGUAGUGGACUACACUAACUAUGAAGACAUGAAGUAUGCAAUAAAAAAGCUUGAUGGCUCUGACUUCAGGAAUGCUUUUUCCCGGUCUUCUGUUCGGGUGAGAGAAUAUGAUGCGAAGCGGGACUCGUCUAUGAGCCCCGGUCGUGGUCGAUCUCAUUCAGGAGGUAGAAGCUACAGUCGCAGUCGUAGUAGAAGUUAUAGCCGGAGCAGAAGCAGGAGCAAGUCUCCUAAACCCAAAUCUUCACGCCGCUCGCCUGGUAGAUCUCGAUCAAGGUCUGGGUCUCCACCCCGCUCACGAUCAAAGUCUCGCUCCCCGUCAAGAUAUGGAUGUAUGCGGCAAACUGGGGGAUGGAUAUUAGGAUCUUGAUUGGAUAUGGUGAAUUGCUUACAACUUUUUCUGUGGAGAUUGGGAACUAUGGAGGUCUUGGAUUGCAAUAAUAAAGCUGGAUAUCUGUGAACUAAGUGCCAUUGGAUUUGGAAGUCAUCAACAAUGAGCAGUAGAGACAAUUUGAUUUUCAUUUCCUGCUCCAACAUUUUGCCAAGCUAAUAGGGCGCACUAUCUGGAUUCCCUGCAUUCUUGUGUUAUAGUAGGGAAGAAUGCUCUUCUUCUUUCCACUGGUGUCUUAAAAAUAAUUAUGCUGCUUCCUAAUUUAUCAAUAUUUUUGUUUCUGUAUUUGUGUUGUGUUUUGGUGAGGAAGAUUUCUUAUUUUCCUUAUGAUUGAAGUGCAAAUGUUUAAUUAUUUUUCUUGUAUCCUUAUUGGAUAUGUAACUCUCACAUGGAAGAGGCAUCAAGGACCUUGGAUCAAAUUGGUAAAGGAACAUGGUAUUAAAUUGGGUUGUUUCUGGAACUUUUGCAGAUCACGAUCAAGAAGCAGAUCUCCACUGCCUUCAUUCAUUUAAUUUCUUUGCUAAGGGAUGGCCUCUUGGGAAAUUUUCAUUGGACAUUGGAUACAGAUUUCACCUUUUCUAAUAUCAAGUUUUAUUUCUUUGGCAUCAUCAGAAGCGCACAAGUAAAAGCCCGAAGAAAGACACAGGUAAAAGUCCGAA